rnacentral:rRNA from 1 species
GAAAGCAGGUCAUAGUGAUCCGGUGGUUCUGAAUGGAAGGGCCAUCGCUCAACGGAUAAAAGGUACUCCGGGGAUAACAGGCUGAUACCGCCCAAGAGUUCAUAUCGACGGCGGUGUUUGGCACCUCGAUGUCGGCUCAUCACAUCCUGGGGCUGAAGUAGGUCCCAAGGGUAUGGCUGUUCGCCAUUUAAAGUGGUACGCGAGCUGGGUUUAGAACGUCGUGAGACAGUUCGGUCCCUAUCUGCCGUGGGCGCUGGAGAACUGAGGGGGGCUGCUCCUAGUACGAGAGGACCGGAGUGGACGCAUCACUGGUGUUCGGGUUGUCAUGCCAAUGGCACUGCCCGGUAGCUAAAUGCGGAAGAGAUAAGUGCUGAAAGCAUCUAAGCACGAAACU